rnacentral:rRNA from 1 species
GAUGAACGCUGGCGGCGUGCCUAAUACAUGCAAGUCGAGCGAACGGACGAGAAGCUUGCUUCUCUGAUGUUAGCGGCGGACGGGUGAGUAACACGUGGAUAACCUACCUAUAAGACUGGGAUAACUUCGGGAAACCGUAGCUAAUACCGGAUAAUAUUUUGAACCGCAUGGUUCAAAAGUGAAAGACGGUCUUGCUGUUACUUAUAGAUGGAUCCGCGCUGCAUUAGCUAGUUGGUAAGGUAACGGCUUACCAAGGCAACGAUGCAUAGCCGACCUGAGAGGGUGAUCGGCCACACUGGAACUGAGACACGGUCCAGACUCCUACGGGAGGCAGCAGUAGGGAAUCUUCCGCAAAGGGCGAAAGCCUGACGGAGCAACGCCGCGUGAGUGAUGAAGGUCUUCGGAUCGUAAAACUCUGUUAUUAGGGAAGAACAUAUGUGUAAGUAACUGUGCACAUCUUGACGGUACCUAAUCAGAAAGCCACGGCUAACUACGUG